rnacentral:rRNA from 1 species
UCUGGCUCUUUCAGAGUCCGAGUUGUAAUUUGAAGAAGGUAUCUUUGGGUCUGGCUCUUGUCUAUGUUUCUUGGAACAGAACGUCACAGAGGGUGAGAAUCCCGUGCGAUGAGAUGAUCCAGGCCUAUGUAAAGUUCCUUCGAAGAGUCGAGUUGUUUGGGAAUGCAGCUCUAAGUGGGUGGUAAAUUCCAUCUAAAGCUAAAUAUUGGCGAGAGACCGAUAGCGAACAAGUACAGUGAUGGAAAGAUGAAAAGAACUUUGAAAAGAGAGUGAAAAAGUACGUGAAAUUGUUGAAAGGGAAGGGCUUGAGAUCAGACUUGGUAUUUUGUAUGUUACUUCUUCGGGGGUGGCCUCUACAGUUUAUCGGGCCAGCAUCAGUUUGGGCGGUAGGAGAAUUGCGUUGGAAUGUGGCACGGCUUCGGUUGUGUGUUAUAGCCUUCGUYGAUACUGCCAGCCUAGACUGAGGACUGCGGUUUAUACCUAGGAUGUUGGCAUAAUG